CUCCACAGUGGUGCAGUUGGCAGCACUGUUACCUUGCAGCAAAAAGGCCCUGGGUUCAAUACCCAGCCUGGGGUCUUUCUGCAUGGAGGUUGCAUGUUCUCCUUGUGCAUGGUGGGUUCUCUCCGGGUACUCCGGCUUCCUU